rnacentral:rRNA from 1 species
GACGAACGCUGGCGGCGUGCUUAACACAUGCAAGUCGAGCGGACAGACCAUGAUUUUGUGGGUUGCUCGUGUGCGGAGCGGGUGUGUGACACAUGAGUAUCAUCCACCUAUCUUUCGGGUAACUUCUCGAAACAGCGGAUAUUAUCGCAUAGGAGCUCUUGAUCCAUGGUGUUGGUUGGAGAGUUUCGGCGGUUGGGGCUGGAGUCGCGGCUUCCCCGCUAGUUGGUGGGGUAGUGGAUUACGAAGGCUUCGACGGGUAGCCGGCCUGGGAGGGUGACCGGCCACAAGGGGACUAAGAUACGCCCCAGAAGCGUACGGGAGGCAGCAGUGGGGAAUAUGGCACAAUGGGCGGAAGCCUGAUGCAGCAACGCCGCGUGCGUAAUGACGGCCUUCGGGGUGUAAACCGCUGUCGCCUGUGACGAAGCGGGAGUGACGGUAAUUGGUAAAGAAGCAACGGCUAACUACGUG